CCCCCAAUUUGCUGUGCCUUUGAUGUGUGGGACCCAGUAGUCAGCGUCUAUCAGUGAUGAAUCCUUCCCCCAAUCCCCAAACCACCAUGGCGGCCACCGGCGAGCUGCGCCGCCGCCCAGCACAUAGCAUCCCAGUCACGCCGCGCGUCGUGCAGAGCCAUGGUGGUUGCCGACUUCAAGUGCGGAGAGGGAGGCGCCUGGCUGGGUCGACCGGGAGCACCUCAAGGGCUGGCCGAGGGCAUGCUGGAUGCAGUGCGACGCCGCGGUGCGUGCUCCCCGAGUUCGUCAAAAUCGAUUCCUCGAGCAAAGUUUGACCAUGGAAAUUAUUCGGGGCACUUCAGUGAAGGAGAAGAGGUGUUGCAACUUAUCGGCAAGGAAACGAUAUGCUCCCCUUUUAUCAGUGGUGGAGAAGCAAUGUGCAGCUCAUUGUCAGUGAUGAUGACAGCCACAACUCCAUGGACUACAGUAAUCAUUCACGGCACAUCUUGUGCAUUCUUCAGAAUUCACGCUUCGCGUGAUGUUAAUCUCCACAGUAGUAUGAUGCGGCAGGGUUACAAGAUGCUCUGAAAUGGACCGAAACCGCUUCAUCGUUGUGGCCUCGGUACAUGGCCUCUUAGAGGCAGAGCAUCCUGAGCUGCACCAUCAUCCUGGAGUUGGUUAUGUAUCAAGCUCCACCUCCUCUGAUUGUGCAUGGCUGAGGGAGUGGACUGGUACUUCGUCAGGAAGGAGAUUAACUGGCUCACAAAUUCACUUGCAACAUCAACCUUCAUAGCCAGGAUUAAUAAAGUAAGCUGCUGGUUGGUGGGGUGCUAAACACGGAUACUUUGUUUAAUUAAAGGCCCAAAGACGUGACCAGGACCAGUCAAUUUUUCAACCAGCUUGAAAAAGAAUUGGGCGACCAGUAUUUGUAGUGUUCAUGAUGAACUUCAGUGGAGAGAAGCAGCGCGCAGCUCAUUGACAAGGAAAUGAUAUGCGCCCUUUUUAUCCUGAUGAGCUUGACUGGAGAAGCCGGCUGCCACUAGUUUCUGGCAAAGAAACUGGUUGGAGAUGAUACGCGUUGCAGCGAACGAUGACGAGAACCGUGACUUCAUGCCUGACUCCUUUGGUUUCUUCAGAGCCCGUUUCUUUGCGUCUUGAAAAAGAAGGACAAUUUUUGUUUGGCUUCCAAGUGGGCUGGGGAAAUUGAGAUUCUAGAUUGGAUUUUGGCUGAAAAAGUACCACCUGCCAGCCAAUCAGAACGAAGCUGCCUGUUCUUUGUACAUACAGUGACAAACAAGAGCUAGUGCCAUAUCCCGUCGCAGUGGGUGUACACGUACUUCCUCCAUUCAACUCAACGAUGUAACUAGGUAUGGUGGCCUCACUGUAGAUGUGUGAAUGGCGAUUUUUGAGUUAAUGGCAUCGAUCGGUUUGUGGUGCCUAAUAUUGAAAAGGAUAAAUGAAGAUAUGUGAAGAACUAGAGGGUGACGCGCGCUUUGUUGCUACGUCCUUCAAUAUGAGUUAAGCCUCUCUCCCUUUUACUUCUUAUCCGGUGGAGGCGAGCAUGAGGGUUUGUGUUUCUUUUUACACAUAAUUAAUACGGAAAUCAACAUAUGGGGCACCCUGUUCAUCUGGGCGUGGACCCAAUCACAACACACAUCACCGAUUCACCGACGACCAGGAGCCAACAUUCCUAGGAGUUUAGAAUCUUAUUCUUAGUAUACUUUGUUAAUAUUGCAUUUCUCUUGACCCCUUCAUUUGGGUUCUUUUUGCAACGUCUACCGUCACGGACAGAUAAUUUUCUUAACGUCCAAACAGUUGACAAGGACAAGCCAACUUGUCCGAACCACACUAAUUACUGUUACAUGAGAAAUUGUAUAUAUGUAAUUACCUUUGUGCAUGUCUUUCGUUCCAUCUUUUUAUUCAAUUGUGUGUGCCCUACUCUAUCAAUUUCUGACCACAGAAAUUUCUCGAGAUUUUUCCAGACGAGCUUGACUGGAGAAGCUAGGCGCCACUCGUUUCUGGCAAAGAAACUGGUUGGAGACGAUACGCGUCGUGGCGAAGGAUGACUAGAACCGCAACUCCAUGCUUGACCCCUUUGGUUUCUUCAGAACCCGAAAGAAACUGGUGGGAGACGGUACGCGUCGUGGCCCGUGGUGAUGAGGACCAUGACUCCAUGCCUGACUUAUUUGGAUUCCUCAGAGACCGGACCAGAGCCAUCACUAAGAAGCGCUGAAACGGGCCAGAAGCGCUUCGUCAUUCCAGCCCAAGACCGAACAGGAUGACGACCUAAAGAGGGCCGCGCGGCCCAAAGGGAGCUAUAUUGCCAACGAGUGGGAGCUACGCAGCGCAGGGGGCAGGAAAAUCCUAUUCGCCGCUCUCUGCGGCGAACUGUCGAGGGAUCGCACAGAGGAGAGCUGCGAGCGACCGACAUGGGCCGGCCCACUUAUACAUAACGAACUUCAGUGGAGAAGCAGUGCGCAAAUUUGAUCGUCGUCGAGGAAAUGAUACGCGCCCUUGUUUAUCUUGAUCAGUGGUGUAUCUUUUUCAGGAAGAAAAUGUGGUGCUGUAUCUGAAAUACCACAGAAACCUUUCAUGAUUUUGGUGCGGAAAAUCUAGAAAGCUGUAUGUAAUUUGUUGGUCAAAAGGUUGAUUGUACUUGUACGCAUUCUACCGUGACAAAUAAAAGAGAACAGAGGAUGCAGUAACCUCACUGUUUGUAACCGCUUGCAUUGUUUUAUCAUGACUCCCUAAUGGGAGCACAACCACUGGAGUGUUAUAUGUAGCAAUAGCUAGAAUGAAAUGUGUUGAACUUGAACACAGCUGUCCUGUGUUCAAAUGGAGAAAUGCUGGAUGACAGUGUACAUUCUCCUAGUCAUGAGUCAUGACAUGUAUAUAUAUUUUAGUGGCAUGUACUAUGCAGGUUGGCAUGCAA